UUUCCACACAGCAGCCAGAGAGGGGUCUUUUCCAUCAUCAGAUCUCAUCAUGCCAGCCCCCUUGCUCUUAAGAUAAUGGUCCAAGCCUUCUGGUCCUGCCUCAUCUCAUUCUGCCUGCCUCCUACAGCUGGCAUGCUCUAUCCACUCUGAAUGCUUUCAGAUCGUCCGUACCAUAUGCUCUUUCUACUUUAGGACUGAAACCCAGGCCAUUCCAUCCUCCUGGAAGGCCUUACCUGACUUAUCCCCAUCCUACAGGAAUCAGCCUAACUGUCUCUUUCUCAGAAAGGCCUUUCUUAAUUCCCAGAUGACAUGGGCCCCUCUCCUCUUUUACCCCGUUUACGCUCCCACAGCUCCUUUCUCUUCCCCUUCACAGAACUGGCACAAUUGUAAAGGUAGUUAUCUAUGUGGUUUUUGUUUGUUUAAUUUCUGGUUUUUUCCACUAGAAAGAGAAAAAGAUCUUGUCUGUCUNNNNNNUCUGCUCUGUUGGCAUUUAACCCAAUUACCUGGAACCUAGUAGGUUUUUAAUAAAAUUUUACAAAAUGGUAAUAAAGAACUUCAAGUUCCUUCAGGCCCCUUAAAGGAAGCUAAUAUUUUCCAUCUGCAUGGAAUGUACCAACCGUGUUCACAGCCUCCUCAGGUUUUUUUUCCCCUGGAAAACUCCUACUUAUCCUUCAGGAUCCUGUUAGAAAAGUCCUUCUCCACAAUUCCUUUCUGAUUCCCUCUGGCACGAAUUAGUUUCCUCCUCUUCUGUAAACCGAUAGUCUUUUCAUUCUUACAGUAUUUUUGCUUAUGCACCUUCUUCCUGUUGUAGCUAGGCCUCAUGAUCACAUCUCUGUUGGUGUUGAAAAUUCAUUUGCCAGAUGAAUGAACAAAUCAAUGAUGUAAUGGUAUCACUUUACUUAAUUGUAACUUUAAGGUAGUAAACACAUGUAUGAAUUGCUCUACAACAUAGGUGCUGGUCAUAUGUAAAGUUCUUGUGUUGCAUUGCUCUGGCCAGAGCUUUUGGAUUUCUUCUCUUGGGCUUCUCCAGGUCUGGAGCAGUUCUCUAAUGGAGGCUGCUGGGUGGGCUUCUGGCAUAGGGAAGGCCACAGGACUUUCCGCCUCUGGGGGUGGGAAGGGGAGACAGAGUCUCAGCCCCAUUUCCCCACCCUCAUCCCAUUAUUGGUGAUCUGUAUUCCUGGGGGAGCCUGACUCUGCUUUAGGCUCUGACUUGGAACACUGAAUUGUUCAAAGCCAGCAGACUGAUUAGGGCUGUAGGUAGAGACCAAGGCCAGGAUGGAGAGCAGGAGGGUCCAUCUUGGACCAAGGAUGAGAAAUGAGGAAGAGAUGCUUCAUGACCAGGCUCCAAUUGCCCUAGAAUGGGAGUUUCUGGUAUUUUCCAGCAGCUGCUUCCUCUAUUCCAAGGCCCUCAGCCUGAGGAAGGGCCUCCGCACCCUCAGAACUCCUCAUGUAUGUAUGUGAGGCCUGGCCCCGGGCUGCUGGGCUAGAGGACUGCUAUGUUGGUUCACCUCUGCUGACCAAGUGGAGAGAAGCAGAAGCAGGGCAGGGCUGGGGCAACCAUCUGGGGAAAGGCAGCUGAGGCCCCUCCCAGCACAGCCCCACCCUGGCUGCCCUCAGGCCCUCUUUCUCUUCCCUUGACCAGGUCCACUGCCUGCACUACAGAGAUGACAUGCAGGCAGGCAAUGCCUUACCACCUGUCAGGUGUUAAGAACAGUCCUCGCGGAUGUUUGCCAGUCCUUGCCUGGGGAUGGGCAAGAAGCACCUUUUCCAGGGCAGAGAGUUGGCGCAAGGUUGACAUUGGGGAUGAUAUUAGCAAUAUUAGCUAACUUUUAUUGGGCAUUUCUAAUGUUUCAGGCUAAAGUACUUNNNNNNNNNNNNNNNNNNNNNNNNNNNNNNNNNNNNNNNNNNNNNNNNNNNNNNNNNNNNNNNNNNNNNNNNNNNNNNNNNNNNNNNNNNNNNNNNNNNUAUUAGCUAACUUUUAUUGGGCAUUUCUAAUGUUUCAGGCUAAAGUACUUGAUACAAAUUGGCCUAUUUAAGAACCUAUGUCUCCUCACAUGCCUUCUGAAAACCCUCUGCCUGUGGUGAAUGCAGGGCCAAAAUGUACAUGAGGCAUUUCUUUGGACCACCUUGACCCUCUGAGCCUCUCCACUUCUGGGGCCCUUGGCCAUCGGUCAUGCUCCAGCUGCUUCCAAGGUGACCAGCCCAGCAGCAGCUGGGCCAGCUUGCAGUGGACACAAUCUUGUAAGACCCUAGACCAAUGGAGACAGGAGACAAUGGAAACAUUCCCCACCUUCUUCCCCCAUGAAUGGGCUAUCCUGAAGCUCAGAGGUUCAUACAGACUCUAGCAGAUGGACCUUCAAUAUCAGCAAUCAGUCUAUCUAUUCAGUCUAAGUGGGGCCAGUUCAGGAGCAAGCAUAUGUUGGCUACCCUGGCUUCCCACCUUCCCACUCUUUCCACUUUUUUCUU
ensembl:lncRNA